UACGUAGGGGGCAAGCGUUGUCCGGAAUCAUUGGGCGUAAAGAGCGUGUAGGCGGCUCGGUAAGUCCGCUGUGAAAGUCCAGGGCUCAACCCUGGAAUGCCGGUGGAAACUGUCGAGCUAGAGUCCGGAAGAGGCGAGUGGAAUUCCUGGUGUAGCGGUGAAAAUGCGCAGAUAUCAGGAGGAACACCAAUGGCGAAGGCAGCUCGCUGGGACGGUACUGACGCUGAGACGCGAAAAGCUGGGGGGAGCAAAACAGG
rnacentral:rRNA from 1 species